UGGUGGAGUGAUCUGUCUGGUUAAUUCCGAUAACGAACGAGACCUUAACCUGCUAAAUAGUUAUUCUGAUCCGUCUACUCAAAGAGGAAAGCGAAGCAGAUGCCCACUUCGGUGGCGCUGUGGAUGUGGAACUCUGGUCGGAUCGGAAGAUAUACUUCUUAGAGGGACUAUUGGUAUCUAGCCAAUGGAAGUUUGAGGCAAUAACA
rnacentral:rRNA from 1 species